CCGUGCAUAGCAUCUGAUCAUAUUUAUCGUGAGAGUGACAUUGAUGAAGACAACCUAGAAGGUGCCAUGGCAUUAAUACUGAUUUGGAGCCCCAGAGAAAAAAUGAGCAGAUACAGAAAUUCCUCCUUCCUUAUUCAGGGAGAAGAAGCUGAAUCAGCUGUUGCAGAUUGCCUGCUGCCUCGUCUGCCUCUGCAGACUGGAAAGGACCACUCCUGCUACCAAGGAAAACAGGGAGUAAAAAUCCAAAUACCAUGCCCUUGACUUGGUUAUGGAAAAGAAAGCAGAUGAAAAAUUUUCCUGUUCAUGGUCAGAAAUUACCACAUUAACCUGUGAUAGCUGAAUCAUGGAAGGUAUAUAUGACAUCUUUCUAAAAUGUUUGUUCUAAUUUCUUCUAGUAUGAAGAUGCAGCACAGAAGUGGAAAACUCAAUAUAAAUAUUCCCUAAUACCCUAAGAGGGAUAAAUAUUACUGUGAGUUACAAUUGUAUCUCUCUUACCAUUUCUUUGUCUUUAACUGUCUCUAAGGUACAAAUAAUUUUAUUUCUCUAGCUGUGAUUUUUUUUUGCCCCUUUUAUAUUAAUUGUAUUUAUAUCAAAAUAUAUAUUGAUAUAAAUUGUCAUUGUAAGGGUUUUUUUCCCUGUUUGGUUUUUUUCAUUUUUUUGGUACUUUUUUUCUGUCUGUUUGUUUUG
rnacentral:lncRNA from 1 species